UCUUCUCUUAUUCCAAGAUAGUGGCUAUUACUUUGUUAAUUGGGUUAUUACUGUUACUGCCGAGAAUCUGUAUGAGGUUGAGCGCCGAUCCUGCACAAGCACAGAAGGUAGAGGCUCGGAGAUGGCUUCGGGAUUAGUCCUCCGACGCCCAAGUUAGAGACUUGCAGAACAACGUUUUCACAGGAGUAAUGGUGCAAGCGUAUUGACCUACCUCUUCUGUCCUUUAGGGUUCCUUCUUAUAGGAUUACCCCUUUCUGAGUCUUUCUCGGAUACGUCUUCCUGUCUUCGUGAGGAAUAUUCCCUAUUCUGGUAUCUCCUCCUCAUGUAGGUAGAGUCCUUGCGCACCUCUCAUUGAGGGGGGUUCAAGUCCCCUCCUUCUUCUGAUCUUCAGAGUUAUGGUCGUAGUGGGUAUCUCUCGGUUAGGCACCAUGUGUCCCUCCUUUAAAUGCCAUGCGUUCUUGCUUCAUUGGGUGGCUAAUUUGAACGUAUCAAAAUCCCCCUUACUGCCACUAGGAAACCCUUAUAGUGGGAGUAACCACGUCCUUUCCCCCGCUUUUCUCUCUCUUUUUUAUUUUAAUGCCCCUUUGGCCUUCUUCGUCCGGCUUCAGCCUUCGUUCUGUUGGAGGCGAAGACCUUCGGUUAGGUCUGCUUAGCCUUAGCCUGAGCCCCCAACUGAGGUGUGUACCUUUGGUCAAGUCCUCUCGGCCUUAGCCUGAGCCCCAACCGAGGUGGGGACCUUCGGUCAGGUCUACUCGGCCUUGGCCUGAGCCCCCAUCCGAGGUGGGGACCUUCGGUAAGGUCUGCUCGGCCUUGGCUUGAGUUCCCAACCAAGGUUUGUACCUUUGGUCAAGUGCGCUCGGCCUUAACUUGAGCCCCUAACCGAGGUGUGUACCUUUGGUCAGGUCCGCUCGGCCUUAGCCUGAGCCCCCAACCGAGGAAGGGACCUUCGGUCAGGUCCACUCAACUUUGGCCUGAGCUCCCAACCGAGGUGUGUACCUUCAGUCAGGUGCUCUCGGCCUUGGCCUGAGCCCCUAACCAAGGUGUGGACCUUCGAUUAGGUUCGCUCAGCCUUGGCUUGAGUUCCCAAUCGAGGUGUAUACCUUCGAUCAGGUUCGCUUGCCUUGGCCUGAGCCCCUAACCGAGGUGUGUACCUUCGGUCAGGUCCGCUCAGCCUUGGCCUGAGCUCCCAACCGAGGUGGGGGCCUUCGAUUAGGUUCGCUUGGCCUUGGCCUGAGCCCCCAACCGAGGUGUGGACUUUCGAUCAGGUUCGCUCGGCCUUGGCCUGAGCCCCCAACCUAGGUGGGGACCUCUGGUUAGGUCCGCGACCCGUGUAAACCUCGAGAAUCGCUAUUGAUGACAUGGUGGAGCCAUUAAUGCUCGGGCAGUCGUAUUGUUUUUCUUUCCUUUAUAAGGAGUGGGGCUCCAUUUAUGGGCCCACUUUUAUUUUUUCCUUCGGAGAGCUUCCCCUUGGUCUUGAUUUUCUUUUCCUUUUCGUCAUCCUGUUCAGAAGUAAGUGCCAUGUCCAGUUCAUCUGGCUACAAUCCCUCGUCCUCCGAGAGGAAGAUGUAAACCGAAGGGCUCUGAGUUCCAAGGGGAUCCAAGGGAUGUCCUCGGGCUCUUCCCUAGACUUGCCCUCGUCCUGUGACUCGUUGUCCGUGGCCUCACAAUCUGGGUCCGAGGGUGGCUCAAAUAGUGAGGGGUUCAGAGAGAGGGUGCUUGAGUCCCAUGCCCAAACCCAGGACUCCCUUGAGGUGGAAACUCGCAACAUCGUUUCUACCAUGGACGAGCUUUAGUUGGGGGAACUGAGGGCCUCCUGCAGCAUUUCGGAUGCCUUUAUGCUCCGGCUGUUGAAACCAACAGAUCGAGCCAGCUAUAGGAACCCCGAAGAGCUGUGCUUAUAUAGGGAGGCUUUCAAGGCUAGCCUUCGGCUUCCUUUCCACCCUUUCUUUGCCCGAGUGUUUCGGCACUACGGGAUUUGUUCGACCUAGCUGAUACCAAACGGAUGGCGGCAGAUGCUAAGUUUUAUCGUUCUCUUUUCUAGGCAUCAAAGGCCCCUCUCCCUCCCCCUCUUCGUCAAUUGCUUCCUCCUUCAGGCCAGUAAGGGGCUUUCGGGCUAGUACUAUUUCAGCCCUUGGAAAGACCUUCGGCUACUGAAUGGUUAUCCUACGUCGAUCCACGAUUGGAAGGAGAAAUUAUUCUUUGUGAGGUCGUCAAAGGGGGUGCCCUUCGGCACUAUCUGGGACAUCCUUGAUUUGAGGAUGGUGAACUCCGCUCCUGCCCUUCUUGUGACAAAUGCAGAGUCAAUGGCGAUGGCGAGACAUUAGGACACUUGUCCUCCGGUUGAGUCCAAUAGUCUUAAGUCAGAUGCCGUCUUGUUCAAAUUUGGGCUUAGCCCUGGUGAGUCUUAGGCCUGUUAGAGUGCAUUUGGCUUUGAAUUUUCGUCCUUCGUACUAAUUCUCUUUGUUUCCUUUUACAGUGCAAAUUUCAAGGGUCGAAGCCAGGGCCGCUGUCGCAGAGAGGCAGGCCCAAAUAAGGGAGGCCAGGGCGUGUGAGGUGCAGCAGCAGCAGCAGAAGUAGAAGAAGGAGAAGAAGAAGGGGAUUUCUACCUCUGAGGCCCCCCCGUCCAAGAAGAGAGCUAGGGUCGAGGGUCCUACCUUCGAUGCAGUUCAGGCCCUCGUUGUUCCGAGCCAUAAUAUGUCGUCUACCCGAGCUGCUUCCCCGGUGGCCAACUUUCGAAGUUUGAGGGUGAACCAAGUUCGAGCCGAGGUUGGCUUCGUCCCCCGAUGGUCUGUCAGGAGGACGAAAAUCUGUCUGUCGCGCAUGUAGCCCGGGAGUUUGUGCAGAAGGGCAGCCUUCCCAAAGAUGCGAGGCUCAACACCAGGGGACCGCAACCAUGAUCACUAGCACCUGCAUCUCUAUGGCAGGGGCUCAGAACCAAGUGGAUCAAAUGACGAUUUGGGCCGAGGCCCUGGUCCAAGACCUUGAGGCUUUCGAACGCAAGAACUCUACCCUUGAGAACGAGUGUUUCGUCCUCCUUAAGAAGGUGGAGCAUCUGGAGGCCAAUCUUCUACACACUCGCCAGGAAUGCGAUCGGAAGCUCGUGGAGCUGAAGGCGUAGAUAGCUGCGAGGCUUUAGGAGGCCAAGGUCUGAGGGGCCGAUAAGUACAAGGCCUUUGAGGACUUUUGGGAGGAAGUCAGGCGUGCCAUUGCUCCUGGGUUUAUAAUGGGUGGCACCGAGGUCUGAGGCUGGGUCCUCGAACAUUACCCAGAGGUUUCUUUUGAGGACAAUAGCCUCAUUUUUGAGGAGGAUGUCGAGGCGGCCCCAACUGCUACCGAGGUGGCCAAUGACGAGGGCAGUAGCGAGGAAGAAGAGGUUCAGCUGCAACGCAAGGUGCCUCUGACACCCAGCCACGAUGGUUCUGAUCAAAAGACUCUCCACCCUGCUGAGAAUGAGGCCAUAAACCUGACGGACGCCCCAUGAGGCUGCUUCUGCCGUAUUCCUUUCGGCCUUCAGGCCCAGCUUUGUAUUUGGAGGCUUUUGGCCCUCUUUUGCUUUUGUCCGUGGCCUUCAGGCCUUUUCUAAUGUAAUUUCGGCCUUUGGGCUCUUUGAUGUAAUUUCAGCCUUCGGGCUUCUCAAUGAAUGAACGCCUCUCUUCUUCGGGUCC